rnacentral:rRNA from 1 species
GAUGAACGCUGGCGGCGUGCCUAAUACAUGCAAGUCGAGCGAACGGACGAGAAGCUUGCUUCUCUGAUGUUAGCGGCGGACGGGUGAGUAACACGUGGAUAACCUACCUAUAAGACUGGGAUAACUUCGGGAAACCGGAGCUAAUACCGGAUGAUAUUUUGAACCGCAUGGUUCAAAAGUGAAGGACGGUCUUGCUGUCACUUAUAGAUGGAUCCGCGCUGCAUUAGCUAGUUGGUAAGGUAACGGCUUACCAAGGCAACGAUGCAUAGCCGACCUGAGAGGGUGAUCGGCCACACUGGAACUGAGACACGGUCCAGACUCCUACGGGAGGCAGCAGUAGGGAAUCUUCCGCAAUGGGCGAAAGCCUGACGGAGCAACGCCGCGUGAGUGAUGAAGGUCUUCGGAUCGUAAAACUCUGUUAUUAGGGAAGAACAUAUGUGUAAGUAACUGUGCACAUCUUGACGGUACCUAAGCAGAAAGCCACGGCUAACUACGU